rnacentral:rRNA from 1 species
UACGUAGGGUGCGAGCGUUAAUCGGAAUUACUGGGCGUAAAGCGUGCGCAGGCGGUGAUGUAAGACAGUUGUGAAAUCCCCGGGCUCAACCUGGGAACUGCAUCUGUGACUGCAUCGCUGGAGUGCGGCAGAGGGGGUUGGAAUUCCGCGUGUAGCAGUGAAAUGCGUAGAUAUGCGGAGGAACACCGAUGGCGAAGGCAAUCCCCUGGGCCUGAACUGACGCUCAUGCACGAAAGCGUGGGGAGCAAACAGG